rnacentral:misc_RNA from 1 species
GUCAGUUAAGCGUUUCGUUUAAUUUUUUUUAGCAAAAGCAAUUGGGUUGUAUUUAUUUUGUUAACGUUUUGAGUGAGUUUAUUAAUUAACUAUCGUGUCUAGAUAAAAUUCUGCGUGAAAAAAAAAAUUAUGAAGCGAAUUUCUACUUCUCCCACUGCUGAAGGUGAAAGUAGGCCAGAAAUCGUUCCGUUGUCGAGGGCGUACCGGACUCUUUCCCCCAGAGCACAAAUUUUAAGCGGCUCUUAUAGUCAGGGAAAUAAAAUUUUCGGGCUACAGUCAAGAAAUAAACAGAGUCCUGCAACCUGCAUUGUAGCUGCCGUAUAUAGCAAAGUAAUACCCUCUUCAUCUUGGAUAAAAAAGGAUAUUCAUCGAAUCCUCGAACUAGGUGACAAGUUAUACAGAACCUCAGUCACCCACAUCCCUCUAAAGUCUUGGCAAGUACUUAAACCUCAUUGUGUGCACCCCACCUUUUAUAUUGGCCAAAACAAAAUCACCGUUUUUGUUGGAAACGAUGUUAUUACUGGAGUCCAUACACCAGACAACCCCGUGCUGCCAGAAUUGCUUGCCUCGGAAGCUUCCCAUUUAAAUGAAAAACAUGACGCAUUAAUUUUCAAUAUACAUGAUAAGAAUUUCGCGAUUUGGAAAGAACAAAGUAAAGCAUAUUUGUUCUGUCCACAUGAUGCCGAUGAUGAUGGACUGCCUGCAAAAGUGGGUACGGGGAAAAGCUUUGUCAUGCGGGCUGAUGCCAUCGAAAAUUUCGCCGAACAUUUAAGCUCCUUCAUAAAUGGACAGUUUUCGCUUUACUCUUUGAAAAUUCUAAAGCUUAUUGAACUCAAAAACACAAUGUCCGGCUUGAUUGCUCAGAUCCAAGAAAGUGAGGCUUUACCUGAUACUGAACCAGAAGAAAAAAAAUCAAGCACCGAAGUCGUUGAGGCAGAAAGUCAUCUGCCUCCCGGAUACACCAAAGAUUUAUUGGAAACGGAAAGGCAAUUCGAUUUGAAGGUUACCAGUAACUUUAAACCCAUAGAUGACACCCAAGGAAGUUUGCUGCAUAAUGCGUACGAGCACGAUGCCGACCUGAUUGUUUGCGAUACUUUGGCAGCACUGGUGAUGCUUCAUAGGAAGCAUUCAAGCACGUGGAAUGUUCAAACGAUAGCAGAAAUAUUGUCCCUAGGCAAAGACAUUUCUGACCAUGAUUUCGAUAUAGAGACCCAUAUUGCAGGCUACAUGGAAGUUAUCGCUUAUGAAAAGACCUACAGGAUUGAGUUUGAGAAGGUGGUUUACGGCCAAGUGACAUCCCAAGAUGAAAAUGUGCCUACGGUGUUGACAGGUGUCGAAAUGUUUUUCAAAAAUUACGACGUAGGACUUAUUUUUGGUCCACAAAACAUAGCCAUAUGGAAGGAAAAGGGAAUGUACUUUGCUUUCGAUCCAAAAGAAAGGGACGCCUUGGGGCGUAAGUGGACAAAAAUGCUUUCCAAACAGCUCGGUCCCCCCAAAAAAGGUGGCGGAGCUUGCGUUGUCUGGUACAAAAAUCCUAGACAACUAGCAGAACGAUAUAUCUCGAAUGUCCCAGUCAAGCACCGCAAUGAUGCUUUCCGGAUAAUUAAUAUUCACAUCCUUGAAUCACCACAAGGAGAUGACUGGGAAGAAUGGACUUUCGUCAAGCCUGGAGAAUGGAUCCUCCAAGGUGACGAUGCACUUUGCAAAUAUCUAACGCCAGAGGAAGUGGAUAAGAAGGCAAAAUCACUGGCAGUCGCGUGUUAUAUUUUAGCAUUCACAACACAAAAGCCAGAGGACGAAUGGUCUAGUGAAACCCUGACGAAUCUUCUAAAGGACGGAAUAGAAUAUUAUAAAACUUUAGUACAAGACGCUCAGCCCCAUCUAGCAAAUUCGCCAAACUCGAUGACUGAAUUGCAAGAACCCAAACGUUUAGAAUCACUAGCCGAGUUCAAGAAAAACGUUACCAUCGACGGGAAUAAAAUUCUACUGAAAAUCGAUGAGUGCGUCAUAUCGAACAAGGAUGUUCUGAAUGUCAAAGGCAGUUCAAUGUUAAAAGCAGGACUAGAAGUGUUCUUCAAAAGCUAUCGAUCUGGCAUUAUCACAUGUGGGGAAUCUAUUCUCACCACAUGGACUGACGGGGAAGCCUACUAUGUGCUGGACUUCGCGGAAAAAAUGAACAUCGAGCAGACCCUCACGAAAACAAGCAAUAACCAAGGAAAAAUAACUGCCGUCCGGUUUGAAAAGCUUUCCGAUAUGCUGAAUGUCAUUACUUCAAAUCCAAGGACUUUAGGAUAUGGGGAAUUUUGCAUUUCGAGAGUCGAGGCCACAUUCGAGGAAGGGGGUGAUAUACCCUUACGAAACUAUGAAGCGUUUUUAGGAAAAAGUGCAAUCUUAACACAACCAGACUAUCACGAGGGCCAUGCGAUAUUCGGUGCGAGAGCAGACAAACAAACCCUAGCAAAUCUGAUAACAGCUCUUUGCUUGAGUGCGAUCAAUAACUCCGCGGAAUGGUGUAAAUACGAUUUGGUAGAUAUCAUACGAAUUGGCGAUAGGAUGUAUGCGAAAAUUAUAGAAGACUUCAGUGAAUGUGAAGCAAAAGAUCAUGAAAUCGGUUGGGACGACCUACAACCUCAAAUAGGAAUAAGUGCUUUCACUUUCAACAGGGAAGAACACACAGGAAUUCUGUCAAAACCUGUUGAACAAUCUACCGAGCCACAACCAGAGCCAACUGUAAGUAUUGAACAACCAAUGGAAGAUCAAGAAAAAGGAUCAAAAAGUAUAAGCAUCUCGAAUGCUAACGAUGCAGAACCCAACGCCGAAGAAAAUGCACAAGAAGUGAGUGAAGAGCUAGCUCCCGAACCUGAUACUAUAACAACUCUUCUCCAAAAUCUUGAUAUUAACCCCACAUACGCUGCUAUAUUACAAACCGACUUUGUUGAUAUCGCUCUUUGGAAACAAGAUGGCCUUUAUUUUGUUUUCGACCCGAAAGCUAAUGACGAAAAGGGCUACCCUAGCGUUAGACGAAUUCAAAAGGCGGUGCAAGUCGUACAAGCUCGCCUAAAGGCGGAAGAAGAGGAAAGGAAUCAGAUGCGAGAGAGAGAUGUUUCAGCAAACAAACUUGAACCCGAAGAAGGAGAAGAUCACCCAAUGUUCGACGACCCGUACUUUUCCCUAGACGAGAUAAAGGCAAAAACUGACGAAGUCCACCAACAUUUAUCUGUAGUAAGAGAUAGUCAGUUAGCCCUUGAGAAAGGCGAGGCCGCAAAAGAAACGGUACGCGACAUUAUGUCACUACCAAAUGAUGGUGCCGCUUAUGUAGCAUGGUUUCAAACUCUCGAAGGCCUCAUUGACCAUCUUCUAUCUAAAACUCCUCCGGAAUAUCAGAAUCAACCUAUAACCUUACAUGUUAUUCAAAUUGAUAAAGCUGUGAUUCAAUCUCCUCAAAAGACCGUUAAGUAUUUUGAAGAAAGGAAUCCAGAAGGGUUCUGGACACUUCGAGGAUUCAUUUCACAAGAGGAUCCCAUACUUCCAAACAGAACAAACCUGGAUGGAGCCUGCUCAAUAAUUGCUCUAGGUUUCACGUUGAUCAACCCCGCGGAUGAAUGGUCCCGGCCUAUUCUGGACGUUAUAUUGAAGUUCGGUGACCGACUCUACACCAAAAGUUUAAUGCUGGUGUCUUCCUAUGACAACAAAGUAAAAUUAAAAAUUGGUCAACUCGCGAAGUCUUUUAGCAUUUACAAGCAUAAAUUUGAUUACGAAUUGAAAUUUUCUAACGACAAAUUUCCCCUGAAUAACCCAGAAAACUUUAAUGAAAUUAACUCUUCAUUCAAAGAGGCAGUGAAUAGGCUCGGAACGAGUGAAAAAAACAUUGGUGUUAUUGCCAACCUUAAUGGAAACUACUGCGUAGCUAUUUGGCGAGCUGGACCCAUCACAUAUGUUUACGACUCUCACCAAAAUGAUCCCAAUGGUGUGUACAAGACCAUUGGCUCUUCGACCCUCGAAAGGUUCGCCAAUUUAAAUAUUCUGUUCAACGUUCUGAGAAGGAAGUUCGAUAAUAUCAAGGAGGCGAUAAUGUGUGAACUAAUUGAGGUCGACAUGGAAACCACAAAAUCCAAAGCGAUCAGCCCACCGGACUAUACACUAGUCAAUUUCCGGGUACCAGAACCGCAAUCAGCUUUUAUCACAGGCGAAGACGUCGACACAAGCACUAAAAUAUUAAAGGUUGGGCAAGCCAAGCCAGAAGUAUCUGAGGUUUUGUUGAAUUUCGCGGCGGUGGUGCUGAGCCAUCUUUUACAUACAGAGUGCUGGACACCUACCAUAAUGAACAAAGUAUUCUGCCUAGCAAACAACUUGCAAGUGAAUUCGACAGAUAUCAAACUCGACGUCACAAUCGACAAAGUUGAAAUGGACCUCAAAGGAUUAAUAAGAUGCUUUACUAUUGACAACACAAUGUGCACCCUCAACAUAGAUGAAAUCAUCCGCGGUCCGAUUACUGGGAAAAACCCUACAGAUGUAUCUCUCGAAAACAGUCUUAACCUGCUUAUGCGCAACUACUGCCGAGCUAUAGUGAUAACCGCGUCGUAUAUUUGUGCAAUAUGGCGAGAAGAGGACACCUACUAUUUAUUCACAGCAUUCGAGGAGGACCGGCCAUUUGUAAUGAGUUGCAAAACUCAAGACAAAUUGCUGGAGUGGAUGAUUAAAAAUCGGCCAAAAGACAAGGAGUCGGAUUGGUACCAGAUUGUUCGUGUUGAAAUUGCAUCAAUUCAAUUGAAGGAUUUACCAAAAGCGUCCAAGCGCCAAAUGUUGCUGAAGCCGAAGAAGUUUGAUACAUCAGAAACGCCUAAACGUGACAAGAGGAAAAUUAAGAAAGUCGCGUGUACAAAGAAGGAGGCACAAUUCGUCGAGAAUGUUUUUAGUGAGAAGCAGGAUAUCAGGGACGUCUCUAAGUCUAAUUGUCACCUUGGUGCUGACGCUGCAAUUGCAUUUCGCUGGGAAAAUAAUUUAACGUUUUCGUGAAGAGAAUUCCAAUGGAUCAUGUUUCGAUAGACACAUGGAUGAAUUUGAUGACACAGGUGUCUACGGUGGGCUUCGAUGUUCUUGUCGUAAUCCUGGAUCGGCACAAUUUUUUGCAUUCAUCUCGCUCAGCUGCAUGCUCACCGCUGGAACAUUGACGGACGGCUUCGAUGCGUGAUAAGGCCGCCUGUAUAGUAGCAGCAGCGAUGUGCUAUCUGAACGACAUAUCCAAGUGGAAGAAAGAAGAUUUCGAGACAAUUAGCAGA